CGUGAUCCGCCCGUCUCGGCCUCCCAAAGUGCUGGGAUUACAGGCGUGAGCCACCGCGCCCGGCCUAGAAGGUGAAAGUUUUAGCGAUAACAGCCAUGGAGGAGCCCCACGUCAGGCCUUAUGGUGUGCACAUUCCUUGGGUCUUCACAGCUGUCCUGCCGGGUAAGUAUCGCUGUUACUGUUCUGUAGAUGAGACUUUGAAACCUGUCAGGGACGUUAAUUAACUUGAGAUGAAGCUAGCAUUCAGACCACCCGAGUCUAUUGAGAUUCAAAGCCUGUGCUGCCCAUUCACUGUAAGCAGGAAAUACUCAAGGAGCCGGAUCACCUGGGAAUCCCACACCAAAGACAGCGCCCACCCGUGCGGGAGCCGGACCCCCGGGCCUGCGCGGAGUGGAUUGCUCUAGGUGCUGGUGUAGGCUGCUAGAACAUUUUGUGCUUCUAGAUGACUGGUCACAGUGAAGACAAACAACUCUGUAAAUGAAAACGGCUUUGUAAGCAGGGAAGUUAUACGAGAGCCGCUAUAUACAGCUGUGCUUACUAGUGAGUCCUUUUGAAAGUAUUUUUAGUCACCACUCUGCUAUGUUCAAAAAGUGAGCUUUUGCACUUCUGAUUUUUUUAACAUGAAAGUGUAAAGUAGGGUGAAUGAGGUUUGCAUUAUUAAGGCAAAAGCUAGAGUCUUGACAGAAACAUGACAUUAAGACUUUUGGGAAGCUAUUUUAAAAUGUGUGUUUGAAUUAGAAUCCAUUCAAACAAAACAUCAAGGCAGUGUAGUGAAGGAAAUCUAAUUAGAAUGUUCCCAGCAACAGACUCACACGCUGUGCACGCGGCGUCAUGGGAGAGCAGAACAGGGGGCUUUAUUCCGUGGCCCACGCUGGGUGGGUCUCUGGAAGGUUCCAAGGGAUUCUUUCAAGCAUGCCUUUCUGAGUGUCCCCCUGGGCGCUGGGGAGAGGUUGACCAGGUGAGUGUGUGACUAGGUGGAUUCUGCUCAGCUGUUGACACUUGUGUUUGCAAAACAAAUGACUAAAAUAAGCGGGUGAAAGAAAGCCAGGAAUUGCUUAGCUUCAGAAGUUGGAGGGGUUUGGGAGCAGUCAGGUGGCCCUGAAGUACAAUGGAGAACUCCCCAAAUUCGCCAGCUUUGGAGCAUUAAGGAGGCCCAGGGCAGGAUGGUGUCGAGACCAUUGUUAAGGAGGGGUUCAGACAGAAAGCAAUGGUGUGGGCAUUGGACAUAUGCGCUUGCCCUCUCUCCCUGCCGUCAUCCCCUCCACCCCUGCCCGUCCUCUCAGUCUCUUGGUCUGCGCUGUCUCUGAGGCAUCUGAACCAGGUGCUUCUUGGCUCCCACACCAGCUCCAGCCACAGCGGGCAGUUCCUUUAUGCACCAGCAGUUUCCAAGCACUUCCAAGCUUUUGUUUUUCUGUCUCAGGUCUUUUGCUGAAGCCUUCUCAGCUUGCUCAGUCUACAGCCAGGGUGGCUGGGAAGGUGAACCUGGAAGGGCACUCCGCAGCCGUGGGCAGGUGAGAGGCACGGCCUGCACGGUUUCUCGAAUGUGGCUGAGCCCCUUGGCCCGCAGUGGGAAGCAGCUCAGCAUAUACCUUUCGUUGUCUUUUCUCUCUCCUCUCUCAUUUGCCUGUUUCCUCUGCUAACAGCUCCCACACCCUUGGCUCUGAGACAGCUUCCAAAGUGACAGCUGGUACAGCCUCCCAGGGACAGUGGGGGCGAGGCGAACCCUGUCUCCACUGUGACAAGCCAGCCCCAGGUUUUACUGGAUUUGCUGCUUGUGGUCUGCAGGAGCAGGGAUCCCAAGCCUGGAUUCCCCUCAUUCCUUCUGUGCAGAGCUGUCUCCAGGAACAAAGUUUGCAUAGUGUGAGCAUUAGCAAAUUUGGGGGGUAUCUUUAAUAUUUCUCUAGUGGUCUGCUGAGUUCAGAGAUUACAGAAUUUAUUCCAGAGUGUGGGUGGUUCAUUAGUGACUGUUUGCUGUUUGACAGGAAAGAAACUUUGCCUUGCUGUCUCCUUCUUAGAGCUCUCUUCAAAUCCCCUUUCCAAAAUGAUCUUAAAGAAUUCAAAUCAGAAUCUAAAAUGGAGGUACCAUUAGAAUUUAGGCCCAUGCCCAGAUUUGGGGCCCAUACCAUUUUGAAUGGUAUUUUCAAAAUUUCAGUUUCCAUUUGCUCAUUAUAGGUACAUAGAAAUGCGAAAAUAAAUUGCAUAUCCUGCAACCAUGCUAAAUCCACCCUAGUAGUUUGGUAGAUUGGGUGGGGUUUUGUGCACACACAGUCAUCAUCUGUGAACCCGUAUUCUUAUUUAGAGCAUAGAGAUAAUACCGUUCUAGUCUCUUGGGGUGGGAAAGUUAGAGCCUUUCUGUUGUUACGUUAUCACUGACUAGAGACCUCCGAUGCCAAAGAAUUUAAAACACACUGAGGAGGUCUGUUCUGUUGUGGAAUAGUUGCCAUUGUUAGGAAUCUUGUUCAUAUUUGGGCUGAGCAUUUGGGUUCUGUGUGGCAGCUGAGCAUGUGGGUUGUGUGUGGGAGCUGAGCGUGUGGGUUCUGUGUGUGGGAGCUGAGCGUGUGGGUUCUGUGUGGCAGCUGAGCGUGUGGGUUGUGUGUGGGAGCCACCCAAAGACUUCGAGGCCUCUGGAAAGUCCUCCUGGGCGCCUCCUGCAGGGUGAGCAGUUUCCCUGGGGACUCCUCGCAUGCGGGCACCUGAUGACUGUCUGAAUGACCUGUGUAGAACCCAGCACUGGGAGAGGAAUCAUGAUCUGACCAGAAUUGCUUCUAGUAGAAUAUGAAGUAGUGAUUUUUGAAAAGUCAGAGUGACCACAAGCUGAAUGGGAGGUUUAGACAGGGAACCAUAAGAAGUGUUUCUUUGAGACAGGUCUUAAAACACACGGCAUUUCCCCCAUGCAUGUACUUUGUUGCUGAAAGAUAAAGAAAAAACAAAAACCCAAGGGACAAAUGGAUGCCGCUGAUUAUUUUUAAUGAUUUUGUGCUAUGGUUUGACCACAGCAUUAAGAACAAGCAGAAAAAUCUGAUUUCAUAACUAACAAACAGCACUUAGAGCAACAUCUUUCUUUAAAAGUAUUGCAAUUACAGACCUUAGGUCUAAGAACUACAUCACCAUUGCUCAGGUAAAAGAGGCAGAUACGUGACAGGUGGAAAUCUUUUUCUGUAUGGAACUGGGAAUUAUGUUGAAAAGUAAGCACAAAUGUUUGCUAAAAGAAACUUUAAUGACUUAUCAUAGCUCACAACCAACUAUUGAAAAGUUCAAAUACAGGUGUACUUUUUUAGUAGAUUGCUUUAUAAUAAAAAUGAACUAAAUGCUGUAAAUAGUAUUGUACAUAUUUUAAAAUAGCCUUAAACUAGACAAGUAUACAAGUAGCAUGAUUUUUGAAAGCUAUGAAAUGAAAAAUAGCAACAUACCAACGAGCACAUUCAAAUGAACCAGUAUCAUUAACAGUCAAGUUUAAGCCUCAAUUCGUCCUGUAGAAAGGAAGCAAUGAUGUGGUCACAAAUUUCAGUACCUCUGAGUCUAGAACAUUCUCAUGCUCAACAGUUCUCCCACAAGGUUGAACCUGGGGGUAGGAGCUUUGUUUCUGACAGUAACGAGCCUCAGUUCUUAAUGCUGAAUCCCAAGGGGGGCACCCUACAGUAUAUGAUGGAACCAACACGCGGGGUCCACAACAACACGAGUGUCACCUUUUCACAGCCCUUUCAGACAGAUCCUGAAAGGGCUGACUUUUAAUCCAUUCAGCAUUAGGAGUUGCCUUGUAGAGCCCAUUUCAGUUUAAGGAUAAUCGGUUGUUUGUUUCUUGGAUGUUAGGGGUAUGAGUCUAUUGUGAUUUUCAAAGAACAUACACCAUGGGGCAACUAAAAACUUUGGAAUUUAUUAGACUCCACUUUUGUGGCAGAAUAAGCUGAUAAUAUGGGUCAGACGGGCAAAAUUCCACGAACUGCUCUUAUGGGACAACACUCGAAAAGGAUACCCACACCCAAGAUUCAACCGUGGUUUUAAUGAAUACGGUGUUACACACUUCUCUCGUUCUUUCUUUUUAAAAUUAGGGUAUUUGAAGAUAAAUGCAGAGGUCACAAUCAGACACUAAAAACUAAGCUGGAAGAGAGAUGUAACAAUAUACAAUUCAAAAUGUAAUUUCUAACUGAUGGCAAAACCGAGUUUGCUUUUCGGGUCAGGAUUAUGAUGGGACAUGCGUGGGAAUGGAUGAGAGGUCCUCACUUGACUGGCUGGCAGCCACGUCUCUUCUAGUGCUAACCCAUAACCGAACGCUUUUUCUAAGAACAGGGUCUUCUUGUAAGUGGGUGUUUUUCCUGAGGUAUUUCCCUACAAUCUCUACUGUUACUUCAUUGGCUCCACAGCUGCAGUUUGUAAAACAAAAAGGCACAGAGAGACUUGGACACAGAUGGUCACAGAUGCCUCUGGAGCUGAACAGAGUCCUCUGCUGCAGGCUGAUUGACUUACUCCUCUGACACAGUUUCUGCAAUUUAACAACAAAAAUGUGCACUUUUCACUAAGGCUGACACCUUCGUGAUGCUACAGCAGGAGAUAGAUGCAGGAGGUUACAAAGCAAGUUGAAAAACAACAUUUUUCUGACUCAAAUAUAACUAACACUGGUCCAGCUGAGCAUUACUAAAAUGAUUCAAAUAAGAAGCGUCUAGUGGCAACCAAAAAGCUGUGGGAUUUUUUAAAAAGUAUUUUCUUUAAAGUGUUUUCACAGCAAAGAUGCAACUUUCCAUUGCUAUAUAUACGCUGGUCAUAAACUGUUGCUUGUUUGUUCACACUUCUUUCUCGUGUUAUAAUAUUGAUAUUUAAUAGGAAAAUAAACUACAUAGACUUUAAUCUGUAUGCAUCCAUUUGCAAAUUUCCUUACAAAAGAGGACAAAGCACAUAGGCAUUCACAAAUUCUAUGCCAUUUCUGUUAAAAUUGGUAUCAUCUAUACAUUAUAUUACAGUAUUAACAACUUGUUCUACCCAUUGGGUAGGAUAUGUGCAUAAUAUAUUCAACUUAUAUACAGCACCUUACAAAUAAAAACAUAAGAAAAGACAGACAACUGAAAAAAGCACCAUUUUAAGUGAGGCACAACAAAGGUGGGAGCAUCAGGUGCGGGAGGGGGCGGCUGGGUUCCUGUAUCUGCUGAACUCAGAACACGAGGCACCUUCGUUGCUGAAAAACUGACAUGCAGAUCUCUGACAUGAUAGGGUCUAUAUCUACAUAUAUAUAAUGUGCACGGAUAGUGUAUAUAUAAUCUCUAUAGCUCUAACCCUCUCCCGCAUUACACAAAAACAAGGACACGCAGAGGGAAGAAAGAAAAGGAUGAAGGAAGACGUUGCUUUCCCAGCAAGACAUUCCUACACUCAGACAGCAGCUUCCUAAUGCACCCAGUUCGGGAAGCAGCAGCAGCAAGUGACUGUCUAACCCUGGCAGUAACAUAAACGUGAACUCUGCGAAGCACACGCGUGCUGGGUAGCAAAGAAUGCUGAACUCUUGGUUCCUAAAAAGUACAGACCAUUGCAAGGCUAAGAGUGCUUUCCAUACUCUGUUCACAUCUCUGAUCUCUGGAGGUGCUGGCAGCUGGCGGUGGUGGAACUGGUGAACGGUAAGCCACGCAGCUGCUGAGAACUGGCAUUUAGGAUCUGGGCUGGAAGCAACAUUUAAUUUGUGACUUUCCUCGCACCAAGAAGGGGAGGUUUUCCCUUUGCCCAUCUGUCUUUCAACUGUCCUUUCACCUCAGUAGGUCAGUGUGAGCAGGAGAGCAGAGGGCAGGCUGUGGGGCAUGUUCAUGGCAUGAAGCCUUGGCUGCAAGCACUGGCUUUAAUCACUUAAGCAAGAAACGCAAAAGUUAACAGAAACCAAGUAUCUUUCCCAGUUUUUUCUCUCAUACACGGCUGAGCUUUGGAAAUUAAAAAAAAAUGAAUGGUACACAAAGUUAAUGUUGCCAUUCUAAGUAGCAGAAUUCAAAAAGCGAGCAGUGCAGCAAGCCCCGAGAUGGGGGCGCAUCCAGUCAGGGCUGCGUGGGCAGCCGGGCUCCCUGCGGCCACAGCAGAACGUCUCUGAGCCUGCGAGUGACCAACGCCACGAGCCGGUCCUUUGAGGGAGGGCCUGGGGCUGGGUGCUGUGUGUCUCUGUGCUAGCGACCAGUACCUGGCCUGAGGACGUGUUUGAAGCGCUGUGCACCAGAGCCUCCCUAAAAAGAAGAGCCACUGGAUGGAAGAUAGAGGAUGGCCCCUGUCAGAGAAGGGAACUGUUGGUGCAGAGAGGAAGGCAGGGAUUUGGAUGAAUUCUUCUAGGUCAGAGCAGCUUUCUAAAAGUGCUUCCUUUUGAGCCUUUCUCAUUCUUACGAAGAUGAAAUAAAGGUGAAAGAGAUCAGAUGGAGAUAUAUGUAGAAGUUCAGGAAGUCCUUGCCUGGGUACAAAAUUCCUCUGCUGGUGUCAGGAGGCCUCCCCCAUUUACUUUUGGCCCCUAUUUCCUGCCUCAUAAGUUUGAGCCAACAUAGUGAAUGGAAAUGCGUCUGCAUGAUAAAUCUUUUGAAAGUUCUCCUCUGCUCUCUUGGGAUUUCUUGUGGCUUGGGUGUGUCCCCCUGUGUGUAUGUGGUGGGGAGGGUGAGGACAUGCUUGUCAAGCUUCUGUAUUAGUAAAUUUUGGACACCAAAAAGAGAUCAACUAUUGGAAUACAUAAUUCGUUUCAUGAAAUCUCUUUUCCAUUAAGGAUUGCUUCAGUAUUUAAAAAGAAUGCUAGAGCUUGUGAAAAAACAAAUAUAUGCUGGAAGAUUGUGUUCUUAUAGAUGGGAAUCAAGAUGCCUUGGGUCUGCUACACCUGGAACAAGGGACAAAAGUCAGCAGUAUGCCCAGCAGUGUUCACUCCCACCAGAUGUUCUUCCUAACAAUGCAAUCCUCACUUUGCUGGAAUAAUCUGAGAUUAUAAACCUGUCAUUGAUUGCCUAAAUCAGCGGUUAUUAAACUGGACCCGUGGGUUCUACAAGCUAAAAGAAGGGUUCUUGAAAGAACAAUAGGCCCCACUGUGUAAGCUGUAUCAUCACAAUCACCACUCUUUCAACACCACGCUAGCCAUGAGGCAACACGGUAUGAACAGGUCAGCCACAACCUUCAAAAGAGCUACUGAUCCAAAUCACCUUUGCCUUGUGCUGAAGGGAAAUUGACUAUUAAUUCAUGUUAUGAUCUCGGCUUUUAAACUAAUUCAUUACAGAGCCCCAGCCUCGAAGACCUUUCAAAGUCAUGGUUUGAUAUAUAUGUCUUUAAAUAACGAUUUAACAAAGGCAGUUCUCUAGGGUGGUUGAAUGGGAGGAGCCUCUUUCUUGAAAGAUGAUUGAAGGUAUCUGAAUUACAUAAUUAUCUCACCCACACUGUGGACAUGUGCAAAACACUCAUUACUCGCAGUUACCAAGGAAUUCACAAGUCUCGUCUCUGAGCCCCUUCGAGGCAGGUGGAGAAGUAAGGACUGCGAAGCCAUUUGGGAGCUGGAGCUGUGGACUGCGUCCCCUGCUUCCCCAAACCUGCGAGUGAGAACUGGAAUGAUGGGAUCACUCACCUCGCCCCCGCGUCUGUGGACACACCUGACCGAGAAUCCACUGCAAGUCCCUGCCAGCAGGGCCCGCUGGGAACACGGGCUCCUCAUCUUCGCCUGACAGAGGAAGAGAGGCUCAUCUGGGGAGCCAGAGAACCUUCAGGGCGUCUCCAGGGUUGGGGAAGGUCCUCUCUGGCCCCCAGCCAAUCCCUGCCCUGAGAGCUGGUUUCUCUCCAGCAGACCCUUCCAAGUGUCACUGGAACAAGACUGAGUCCAGUCUCAGAACCUCCACGGUGACUCUCAACUGUAUAUACUUCCACACAGGGUUGUAGGCAGGAGCUGACAACUGGUGCCCUUGUUUUUCCUCUCUCCUUUUAAGAGUUGGACUAGUUCUGUGGAUGUUACUGUGUGAAAAGGAUGAAUGUAAUGGAAUUUCUAAUCCUCAAAACAAACAAAAACCGUGGCCUACCUACAGCGGUAAGCAGCAGAAGGGAACAGACAGGGGUCAGACAACCCUUGGGGUUUGGAACAGUCUCCAGUGACAGCACAGCCACCGCACCGAGGGGCUCACCUGCGAGAUCCACACAGACACAGACACACACACGCGGAUUCGGCUUUAAAGCUGCAUAGAUGGGAGUCACGGAAUCAUCAUUCCAGCUCAUCGUGUUACGUGAAGAGGCCACAGGCCCACCCUCCACAUGGCAGACUGUGCUGCAGACAAGCCCUUCUCCGUGCGCAGUGGCUGCUAAACGUGUUGGCUGCUGCUCUUACAAGAGCCAGUGCUUACAUCUGUAGAAGAAAGUUAUUUUUUUAAUUGUA